rnacentral:rRNA from 1 species
CUACGGGAGGCAGCAGUGAGGAAUAUUGCACAAUGGAGGAAACUCUGAUGCAGCAACGCCGCGUGGAGGAUGACGCAUUUCGGUGUGUAAACUCCUUUUAUAUGUCAAGAAAAUGACGGUAGCAUAUGAAUAAGCACCGGCUAACUCCGUGCCAGCAGCCGCGGUAAUACGGAGGGUGCAAGCGUUACUCGGAAUCACUGGGCGUAAAGGACGCGUAGGCGGGAUAUCAAGUCAGGUGUGAAAUCCUACAGCUUAACUGUAGAACUGCACUUGAAACUGGUAACCUAGAGUAUGGGAGGGGGAGAUGGAAUUAGUGGUGUAGGGGUAAAAUCCGUAGAUAUCACUAGGAAUACCUAAAGCGAAGGCGAUCUCCUGGAACAUAACUGACGCUAAGGCGUGAAAGCGUGGGGAGCAAACAGGAUUAGAUACCCUAGUAGUC